rnacentral:misc_RNA from 1 species
AGGGAUCAUUACAGAGUUCAUGCCCUCCGGGUAGAUCUCCCACCCACUGUUAUCACUACUCUCGUUGCUUUGGCGGGCCGCUGGGCCCUGCCCGGCCGCCGGCCCCGGCUGGCGCGUGCCCGCCAGAGACCUCACAGACUCUGAAUGUUAGUGUCGUCCGAGUAACUAUACAAUCGUUAAAACUUUCAACAACGGAUCUCUUGGUUCUGGCAUCGAUGAAGAACGCAGCGAAAUGCGAUAAGUAAUGCGAAUUGCAGAAUUCAGUGAGUCAUCGAAUCUUUGAACGCACAUUGCGCCCUGUGGUAUUCCGCAGGGCAUGCCUGUUCGAGCGUCAUUUCAACCCUCAAGCCUCGCUUGGUGUUGGGCCCUGCCCGCCGCGGCCGGCCCUAAAGACAGUGGCGGCGCCGCCUGGCCCUCAGCGUAGUACAGCUCUCGCUCCAGGGUCCGGCGGCAGCCUGCCAGAACCCCCCAACUCUGUGGUUGACCUCGGAUCAGGUAGGGAUACCCGCUGAACUUAA